UGAGUUGGCCAGGCGGCCGCGUCGCCCCUCGGGGCGCCGAGGAACGUCCGGGCUCCACAGGGCAGGGUGAUGGCUAACGGCCACCCGGGGUGACCCGCGGGACAGUGCCACAGAGAGAAGACCGCCUCCCGGCAUCGCAAGAUGCCAGGGGGUAAGGGUGAAAGGGUGAGGUAAGAGCUCACCGCGCGACUGGUGACAGGAGCGGCACGGUAAACCCCACCCGGAGCAAGGCCGAACAGGAUGCGUCUGAGGGCUGCCCGCCCGAGCAUCUGGGUAGGCUGCUGGAGCCCUGGAGCAAUCCAGGGCCUAGAUGGAUGGCCGCCCGGUGCGCAGCGGCAACGCGGCGCACAGGACAGAACCCGGCGUAUCGGCCAGCUCAUCCG
rnacentral:RNase_P_RNA from 1 species